rnacentral:rRNA from 1 species
GAUGAACGCUGGCGGCGUGCCUAAUACAUGCAAGUCGAGCGAACGGACGAGAAUCUUGCUGCUCUGACGUUAGCGGCGGACGGGUGAGUAACACGUGUAUAACCUACUUAUAAGACUGGGAUCACCUCGGGAAACCGGAUCUAACACCGGAGAAUCUCUUGCACCGCGUGGUUCAAUAGUGAAAGACGGUCUUGCUGUCACUUAUAGAGGGUUCCGGGCUGCAUGAGCUAGUUGGUAGGGUAACGGCUUAUCAAGGGAACGAUGCGUAGGCGACCGGUGAGGGGGAUAGGCCACCCGGGAGGUGAGACACGCUCCAGAGUCCUAAGGGACGCAGCAGUCGCGAAUCUUCCGCAAUGGGCGAGAGCCUGACGGAGCAGCGCCGAGUCAGUGGUAAAGGUCUUCCGAUCGUAAAGCUCUGUUAUUAGGGAAAAACAUCUGUGUACGUAAAUGAGCAGAUCGUGACGGUAACUAAUCAGAAAGCAACGGCUAACUACGUG